UGAAUAUAGAAGGUCAGGGGCAGGUACAAGUACAACAACACAGCGAGCAAAAUACGGAAACAGUGGGUCAGGUCUGCCGACGUCGGCGCCGAGCACACACAACCGGUGGCAGGCCGGCACAUGCACCAUGGAUCUCUCUUUGGAUCCGUUUCGUGUC